AAUAAUACAACUACUAAUAUUCAACUGAAAUAAUAUACAAACCUAAAUAGAACGAGUCCGAUGUAUUCAGGCUAAGUAAAUACCAGUCGCAUUAGUCGAACACAAGAAUAAUCCGUAACCAUCAACGAGGCUUUAUUUAGAUCACAGAUUCUAAAAUUACAUUGGAAAGUGACCUUGGAUAUAAACGUAUAUGAAUUCUCUCAAGGCACGUAGAUACAGCACGGUAUCCGUUAAUAGCUUAUCAUCGCUAUGUAUAUACACACCAAAUUCAUAAAUUUGGCUUGAACGCAUACUUACACCUAAGUGGACGUGGUUACAAAAAUAUGCCAUUACAUACGCGAGCUCUAUGUAACCCUAAAAUACGCCUCUCUAGCAACCCCAGUAUUUCUAGACGAAAUCCUUGCACUAUUAACAAUAAAGAUCUUCUUGAAGACUAAUAAAUCGAUGGUCUAAUUAAAAACAGUAUAAAAUAAAGAUUAAUAAGAGAAAUAAACAUCGGUAUCUCAUACAAGACGAAAGGUAUGUCACUGAGACUGAAUUCUGAUUGGCUGAACGAAUAGUACUUUGAGUACGUAAUUGGUUGACGGCGUAGGAGUAGGGAGGAAGGAGUCCGUUAGAAAUUAAUACAGCAUUUGUAAAAUAGAGAGACAUAAAUAAUAGACUAACUAAAGCAGUGAAUCUUAUGUUACGAUCUACGCUAAGCAGAAGGGGAAAGCAUGCCUGUUUUAAGUGGAGGGAGAAGAUUAGUGACCUAGUAAUGUCUGUACAACGACCUUCGUAGCAUAAAUGCUCAUUCGAGUAGUGACUCUCGAGGAAGAGAGUUGGGUAGGGUUGGGAUAUCGGUGUAUUCGUAGGUUAGGAGAGGAUGGAUGGUACGAUAGCCUGUUACGUCACUCCUUCACCAUACAACUUUACCUCCUGCUUAUGGGCAAGAUGGCCGCGGGAGGCUGCUGGGAAUUCCUGGACAAGGAGACCAGCCGGGAGAGAGUGAUACAUACAAAACACCGACAGCUCGUGUGAUAGCCCGUUACGUCACAGACGGAACAACUGGUUGGUCUGAGGAGGGGACGAUGGGGGAAUUCCCUGGGUUACGGGAUCGCGGGUGUAAUGCCGCCGCCGUCUCCCAUCUCCGGACGUCACGACGAAAGGAUAGCCGGAGAAGGAGUAAGCGAGAGAGAAUAAUGUAUACAAAACACAAGGUCAACGAUGUGACUGUAUAGAUAUAGUAUAUGCUGUAUAUAUAUGUGUAAACAUUAUGGCGUAGAAUGUGCUGUGGGGGCGUUCGACGUAGCCACCCUUAUACAUUCCCACUUCUCUAUAUGUACGUACCAUACCUAGUGUUACCUUUGACUUUCUACCUCGAUCCAUCCAGAGUCUCUGACCUACAUAAUCACCCUUCCUUCACAGGUAGUUUCAGAGUACUGAGCAACAUGUGUUACGCAGGGUACUUAGGAUGUCAAUAUGAGUAAUGUAUGAAUUACAUUGUAUGUACAUAGGAUUGGGUAAGUUUUCCUUAUGCUUAUGAGCAAGUUGAAAUAAUUUUAUUAACAAUAUUCCACGUUUCAUACCUAGUGGAGUGGCUUAUGUUUGUCAUGAAAUUUUCAGUGAGGCUAUUUCCAGCAGGGACUUAGGUUCUUUCUACUGGAGCAAAAGCUUCUACCAGUGAAGUCUGAAUUUUUUAGGUGUGUUUUAACGUAUUCCAUUGACAAGCUGCUGUACCAGGACUGGUUUCUAGGUAGAGUCUAUACGUACUGUACUAUGCCACGGUUGUAUGGCUUUCUCCCUCUCUCUACGGGUAGUCCAGGGUAACCCGAGGGUCAGAGGUUCCCUUUGUCGCCUUUCAAUCUACCCUCAUAGUAUACACUAGCUGGCUUCCCUCUUCGUACCCUCGUAUAGCGUUUAGUUUCGUAUGCGCAGCUGCUACGGAAACGCACUUUUUCAAAGUCUCCCUUCUAACGUGAAACCUUACCAUUUUCUGCUGGUCCGUACAGAACCGUACUGAAGCCGAACCCCUAAAUGGCCUUUAGGGGGCUUUACAGAUGCGAAAAUGAAAAUCCUGCUGGGACACACAGCUAUCCUGUGUUACUGUAUUUCCAUAAGUUUUGAAAACUCCAGGAAAAUGGUUCUAUUAGGUCUGUUAUAUUUAUACGAGAUAUUUCAAUAUUUAUUUUUAAAAGAUCUCAACACUGAAGAGAAUAAACGUUGAGGAUUCAUUACAGUAAAAUAUCCGUUCGCUCUGUACCCUCUAUGACGAUCACUGCAGGCAUAUAAGAGUUUCUAGAAGUAAAGCUGGCCACUAAAUUAUAAAACAUAAACCCGACGGACACGAUUACCCAGGUCGGUCGAUAUCCAGCACUGCACUAUCCAAUAUCAGAAACCUGAACAAUGACGUUAUGAAACUUUACACUAAAAUAGUAAAGACAUUAUCGGAAAAUCAAUCUUUCCCCCUUUUAUACAUUUUUAAUUCUAUUUCAUGAGAAACCAAGUGUUCAGGAUUAUCAAAACUAAAACUCAAUACUGAUAAAAAAUGAAAUUGUCAUUUCCACUAAUUUAUAUUCUUUAAAAGAA